rnacentral:rRNA from 1 species
AGAGUUUGAUCCUGGCUCAGGACGAACGCUGGCGGCGUGCCUAACACAUGCAAGUCGAACGGACGAGAUGGCUUCGGCCAUCGAGUUAGUGGCGGACGGGUGAGUAACGCGUGAGCAACCUGCCUUACAGAGGGGGAUAACACACGGAAACGUGUGCUAAUACCGCAUAAAUCAGGCUAAUGGCAUCAUUAGCUUGGCAAAGGAGCAAUCCGCUGUAAGAUGGGCUCGCGUCCGAUUAGAUAGUUGGCGGGGUAACGGCCCACCAAGUCUGCGAUCGGUAGCCGGACUGAGAGGUUGAUCGGCCACAUUGGGACUGAGACACGGCCCAAACUCCUACGGGAGGCAGCAGUGAGGGAUAUUGCACAAUGGGCGAAAGCCUGAUGCAGCAACGCCGCGUGAGGGAUGACGGUCUUCGGAUUGUAAACCUCUGUCCUCAGUGAAGAAAAAAAUGACGGUAGCUGAGGAGGAAGCCACGGCUAACUACGUGCCAGCAGCCGCGGUAAUACGUAGGUGGCAAGCGUUGUCCGGAAUUACUGGGUGUAAAGGGAGCGCAGGCGGGCGUGCAAGUCAGCUGUUAAAUGUCUGGGCUUAACCCGGGCAUGCGGUUGAGACCGCGGUGCUGGAGUGCUGUAGAGGCAAGUGGAAUUCCCAGUGUAGCGGUGAAAUGCGUAGAUAUUGGGAAGAACACCGGUGGCGAAGGCGACUUGCUGGGCAGCAACUGACGCUGAGGCGCGAAAGC